rnacentral:snRNA from 1 species
GGAUGUGAGGGCGAUCUGGCUGCGACAUCUGUCACCCCAUUGAUGGCCAGGGUUGCUUUGGCUGAUCUGGCUGGCUAGGCGGGUGUCCCCUUCCUCCCUCACCGCUCCAUGUGCAUCUCUCCUGAAGCUGCGCCUCAGUCAGUCGAAGAGGACGACCUCCCCCGAUAGAGGAGGACCGUUUCCUUGGUCAAGGGUAUACAAGUAGUUGCGCUCCCCUGCUAGAACCUCCAAACAAGCUCUCAAGGUCAAACUACUUAACAAGUGAGGUACAGAUUCUAAGGAAUCCAAAGUCUGAGUUACAUGUCA